UACGUCGGGUGCAAGCGUUGUCCGGAAUUAUUGGGCGUAAAGAGCUCGUAGGCGGUUUGUCGCGUCGAAUGUGAAAACCCGGGGCUCAACCCCGGGCCUGCAUUCGAUACGGGCAGACUAGAGUUCGGUAGGGGAGUCUGGAAUUCCUGGUGUAGCGGUGAAAUGCGCAGAUAUCAGGAGGAACACCGGUGGCGAAGGCGGGACUCUGGGCCGAUACUGACGCUGAGGAGCGAAAGCGUGGGGAGCAAACAGG
rnacentral:rRNA from 1 species